UCAGUACAGACUUCAUUGAAAUAUUGUGUGUUCGUUGGGUUUUGUGCCUCAUCUCACUGGCAGAAGAAUGUAGUGGUUGAUUUGGGGAAUGGAGAUGGCUGGAAAGGAGGUAAAGAGUGAAGAUGGAGAAACAAGACGGCAGUGAUGAAGAGAACCAGCGAAGAGAGAAGGCCAUGGUGGUGCUGAGAAAGUAGAUCUUUUCUUCUUGUUAAGAGCACCAGAGGGAAGAAUCCAGCUGAUCACUAUUCAGGGGCAUCUGGCUCCAGGAAUAACAGACCAUCUGGCGUCCAACUCCUUCAAAAUGAGAUCUCCGGGCUUCCCUUUCCCGAGCACUUGGAAGAUUCUGUGACGUCAGCUAGGUUGGUUCUUCCCAGCUUUGCCUUCUGUCAACAUGGGACUCAGCAUUCUCAGACCUGGUGUGCUGGGCAGAGAAAAGACUGCAAAUCAUUGAUCUAAUGUCACAAUUGUGGACAAGUCACUGGACAAUCCUAGUCAUCUGUAGCAGAGAACUACAAGAUUCUAGGAGACACCAUAGAGAACUUGUUCCAGGUCCAUUCUGCCCAUCUCAGGAAUAGAGGUAAAUACCCAGAAGUGGAAUUGCUGGAUGGUUUGCCAGAAGGGAAACAGGUGAGAGCUGAGUGAAAUAGGUGAAGGGGAUUAAGAGGUACAAACUACGAGUUAUAAAAUAAAUAAGUCACAGGAAUAUAAUGUAGUCACAGGGAAUAUAGUCAGUAUUUUGUAACUACUUCCUAUGGUGUUUAAUCUAUAAAAAAUAUUGAAUCACUAUGUCAUCCACCAUACUGUAAGUCACCACUGGACUUCAAUUUUAAAAAGUCUGUGUCUGGUUUAUGUUAAA